rnacentral:lncRNA from 12 species
AAGAAUUCUCCUUAAGCAGUGAUGUGUAUAUCUGUUGUUAACGAAAUGGACAACCAAGUCCAAUCUUCAUGAUGGCAGCAUGUCAUACAGAGUAGAAUGAAACUAAAGGAAGGUACAACCAAAUCCAUUCACCCAUCACAGCACAGUUUGGAGGUCCUACCUACUCCCUUACUUCAGCUUUAUCUGUCUGGUUUAAUUUAUGUUUCCAGAAUCAGCUUAAAUGUAUUCUCCUUAGAAAGAUCUUCUUCUACUGCAUUGUCUCAGGUAAGUACCUUUAGCACUUUCUUUUAUCGAAUUCUGCUACUUCAAUAGAAUUUAUGAAAAUUCUCUUAGAGUUAUAAGCAAUAGAUAAAUAAUGGUUUAUUCCUACUGUACAGGAGCUUAAUGUUGAACUGAGGAAAUAGACUUAGAUGCACCAGAAUACAAUAUAGACAAUGAUAUAAUAGAAGUAUUUAUAGAGUUCCAUGACAAGACAAGGAGAAGAUAUAUUAAUUUAGCUUUUAAUGGGAUGGGAAGGAAAAGCCUUACAGUAUAACAGACAGUUUAGUUGCAGAGUGAGUGAGUACAUCUGAGAGAUAUGUUUUG